GGAGUAUGUGGUUUAAUUCGAUGCAACGCGAGAACUUACCUGGUCUUGACAUCCCGGAGACCCUUAGGAAACUAGGGGUGCUUCCAUCUGGAAGAAUCUGGAGACAGGUGCUGCAUGGCUGUCGUCAGCUCGUGUCGUGAGAUGUUGGGUUAAGUCCCGCAACGAGCGCAACCCUUGCCUUUAGUUGCCAGCAGUUCGGCUGGGCACUCUAAAGGGACUGCCGGUGUUAAACCGGAGGAAGGUGGGGAUGACGUCAAGUCCUCAUGGCCUUUAUGACCAGGGCUACACACGUACUACAAUGGCCGAUACAAAGGGCAGCGACACUGCGAGGUGAAGCCAAUCCCGUAAAAUCGGUCUCAGUCCGGAUUGGAGUCUGCAACUCGACUCCAUGAAGUUGGAAUCGCUAGUAAUCGUGAAUCAGAAUGUCACGGUGAAUACGUUCCCGGGCCUU
rnacentral:rRNA from 1 species